AUUGAACGCUGGCGGCAGGCCUAACACAUGCAAGUCGAACGAGUGGCGGACGGGUGAGUAAUGUCUGGGAAACUGCCUGAUGGGGGGGGAUAACUACUGGAAACGGUAGCUAAUACCGCAUACCAUCGGAUGUGCCCAGAUGGGAUUGGCUAGUAGGUGGGGUAAAGGCUCACCUAGGCGACGAUCCCUAGCUGGUCUGAGAGGAUGACCGGCCACACUGGACCUGGGACACGGUCCAGACUCCUACGGGAGGCAGCAGUGGGGAUGAUUGCACAAUGGGCGAAAGCCUGAUGCAGCCAUGCCGCGUGGAUGAAAAAGGCCUUCGGGUUGUAAGGUACUUUAAGCGGGGCGGCGUUACCCGCAGAAGAAGCACCGGCUAACUCCGUGCCAGCAGCCGCGGUAAUUC
rnacentral:rRNA from 1 species